rnacentral:tRNA from 1 species
GGAAGGUUGGCAGAGCGGUUGAAUGCACUGGUCUUGAAAACCAGCAUGGGCGUAAGUCCAUCGAGGGUUCGAAUCCCUCACCUUCCG